rnacentral:rRNA from 1 species
UGGGGAAUUUUGGACAAUGGGCGAAAGCCUGAUCCAGCAAUGCCGCGUGUGUGAAGAAGGCCUUCGGGUUGUAAAGCACUUUUGUCCGGAAAGAAAUCCUUGGCUCUAAUACAGUCGGGGGAUGACGGUACCGGAAGAAUAAGCACCGGCUAACUACGUGCCAGCAGCCGCGGUAAUACGUAGGGUGCAAGCGUUAAUCGGAAUUACUGGGCGUAAAGCGUGCGCAGGCGGUUUGCUAAGACCGAUGUGAAAUCCCCGGGCUCAACCUGGGAACUGCAUUGGUGACUGGCAGGCUAGAGUAUGGCAGAGGGGGUGAGAAUUCCACGUGUAGCAGUGAAAUGCGUAGAGAUGUGGAGGAAUACCGAUGGCGAAGGCAGCCCCCUCGGCAAGUCAACUGACGCUCAUGCACGAAAGCGUGGGGAGCAAACAGGAUUAGAUACCCUGGUAGUCCACGCCCUAAA